CCUACGGGUGGCAGCAGUGAGGAAUAUUGGUCAAUGGACGAGAGUCUGAACCAGCCAAGUAGCGUGAAGGAUGACUGCCCUCUGGGUUGUAAACUUCUUUUAUAUGGGAAUAAAAUGUUCCACGUGUGGGAUUUUGUAUGUACCAUAUGAAUAAGGAUCGGCUAACUCCGUGCCAGCAGCCGCGGUAAUACGGAGGAUCCGAGCGUUAUCCGGAUUUAUUGGGUUUAAAGGGAGCGUAGGUGGAUUGUUAAGUCAGUUGUGAAAGUUUGCGGCUCAACCGUAAAAUUGCAGUUGAAACUGGCAGUCUUGAGUACAGUAGAGGUGGGCGGAAUUCGUGGUGUAGCGGUGAAAUGCUUAGAUAUCACGAAGAACUCCGAUUGCGAAGGCAGUUCACUGGACUGCAACUGACACUGAGGCGCGAAAGUGUGGGUAUCAAACAGGAUUAGAUACCCGAGUAGUC
rnacentral:rRNA from 1 species